rnacentral:rRNA from 1 species
UCCUACGGGAGGCAGCAGUGGGGAAUCUUCCGCAAUGGACGAAAGUCUGACGGAGCAACGCCGCGUGAGUGAUGAAGGCUUUCGGGUCGUAAAACUCUGUUGUUAGGGAAGAACAAGUGCUAGUUGAAUAAGCUGGCACCUUGACGGUACCUAACCAGAAAGCCACGGCUAACUACGUGCCAGCAGCCGCGGUAAU